rfam:Desulfobulbaceae bacterium S3730MH12 k99_3372964, whole genome shotgun sequence.
GUCGUCGUGAGACGGGGUGGGGAGCAACCGGAAGCAAAUUGUCGGUCCGCAGGAUGACGAACUCGAUUCGGCGGGGUGUUUGCGGCGAGCCUGCAACUGAAUGGCGAAGCCUGGAAAUCACCGAUCACGCUGGAGUGGUAGAUAAAGCGAUGAUCGGGCGCAUCACGUGGUUGGAGGUGGAACGACAGGAAGGUAAGG